AGUGAACGCUGGCGGUAGGCCUAACACAUGCAAGUCGAACGGCAGCACAGUAAGAGCUUGCUCUUACGGGUGGCGAGUGGCGGACGGGUGAGGAAUACAUCGGAAUCUACUUUUUCGUGGGGGAUAACGUAGGGAAACUUACGCUAAUACCGCAUACGACCUACGGGUGAAAGCAGGGGAUCUUCGGACCUUGCGCGAUUGAAUGAGCCGAUGUCGGAUUAGCUAGUUGACGGGGUAAAGGCCCACCAAGGCGACGAUCCGUAGCUGGUCUGAGAGGAUGAUCAGCCACACUGGAACUGAGACACGGUCCAGACUCCUACGGGAGGCAGCAGUGGGGAAUAUUGGACAAUGGGCGCAAGCCUGAUCCAGCCAUACCGCGUGGGUGAAGAGGGCCUUCGGGUUGUAAAGCCCUUUUGUUGGGAAAGAAAAGCAGCAGGUUAAUACCCCGCUGUUCUGACGGUACCCAAAGAAUAAGCACCGGCUAACUACGUG
rnacentral:rRNA from 1 species